AAACUUAAAGGAAUUGACGGGGACCCGCACAAGCGGUGGAGCAUGUGGUUUAAUUCGAAGCAACGCGAAGAACCUUACCAGGUCUUGACAUCCCUUUGACCGGUCCGUAACGGGACCUUUCCUUCGGGACAAAGGUGACAGGUGGUGCAUGGUUGUCGUCAGCUCGUGUCGUGAGAUGUUGGGUUAAGUCCCGCAACGAGCGCAACCCUUAUCUUUAGUAGCCAGCAGUUCGGCUGGGCACUCUAGAGAGACUGCCAGGGAUAAACCUGGAGGAAGGCGGGGAUGACGUCAAAUCAUCAUGCCCCUUAUGAUCUGGGCUACACACGUGCUACAAUGGUGACUACAAAGAGACGCAAAGUCGCGAGGCGAAGCAAAUCUCAAAAAGGUCAUCUCAGUUCGGAUUGUAGUCUGCAACUCGACUACAUGAAGCUGGAAUCGCUAGUAAUCACGAAUCAGAAUGUCGUGGUGAAUACGUUCCCGGGUCUU
rnacentral:rRNA from 1 species